AUUGAACGCUGGCGGCAUGCCUUACACAUGCAAGUCGAACGGCAGCGGACCUUCGGGUGCCGGCGAGUGGCGAACGGGUGAGUAAUAUAUCGGAACGUACCUUUCAGUGGGGGAUAACGUAGCGAAAGUUACGCUAAUACCGCAUAUUCUGUGAGCAGGAAAGCAGGGGAUCGCAAGACCUUGCGCUGAUUGAGCGGCCGAUAUCAGAUUAGCUAGUUGGUGAGGUAAAGGCUCACCAAGGCGACGAUCUGUAGCGGGUCUGAGAGGAUGAUCCGCCACACUGGAACUGAGACGCGGUCCAGACUCCUACGGGAGGCAGCAGUGGGGAAUUUUGGACAAUGGGCGCAAGCCUGAUCCAGCCAUGCCGCGUGAGUGAAGAAGGCCU
rnacentral:rRNA from 1 species